rnacentral:rRNA from 1 species
AAUGAACGCUGGCGGCGUGCCUCAGACAUGCAAGUCGUACGAGAAAGUGGGUUCGCCCAUGAGUAUAGUGGCGCACGGGUGAGUAAUAUUUAGGUAACGUACCUUCUCGCUGGGGAUAACUAGGCGAAAGCUUAGCUAAUACCGAAUGGUCCGGUCGGAGCUUCGGCUCUGAUCGGUAAAGCUUUACAGCGCGGGGAGAGCGGCCUGAAUCUGAUUAGCUAGUUGGUGAGGUAAUGGCUCACCAAGGCUACGAUCGGUAGCUGGUCUGAGAGGAUGACCAGCCACACUGGAACUGGAACACGGUCCAGACUCCUACGGGAGGCAGCAGUAAGGAAUAUUGCUCAAUGGCCGAAAGGCUGAAGCAGCAACGCCGCGUGGAGGAUGAAAUACUUUUGUAUGUAAACUCCUGUAAGAAGGGAAAAUAUUCCGAUUUAUCGGGAUUGAUUGUACCUUCAGAGUAAGCCCCGGCUAACUACGUGCCAGCAGCC